rnacentral:rRNA from 1 species
UACGACGGGUGCAAACGUUGCUCGGAAUUAUUGGGCGGAAAGCGCACGUAGGCGGCUUAGUAAGUCGGAAGUGAAAUCCCACGGCUCAACCAUGGAAGUGCUUUCGAAACUGCUGAGCUUGAGUCCAAAAGAGGAUCGCGGAAUUCCCGGUGUAGAGGUGAAAUUCGUAGAUAUCGGGAGGAACACCAGUGGCGAAGGCGGCGAUCUGGGUUGAUACUGACGCUGAGGUGCGAAAGCGUGGGGAGCAAACAGG